rnacentral:lncRNA from 1 species
AAGGAUGAAGACAAAGAUCUGUGAAUAAAUUAACUCCUCUCAGGUCACACUGUAGUGUGCGUUAAGAUUCCAUGUCUGUGAACUUUACAUGGCCUUCAAGGAUGCAAAACUUAAGAAAACAUCUUAUACUGAUGAUAUGCAGACUAGAGCUGUUUAUGAAGAUUAAUUUUUACAGGCUUAUGUUUGUUACAUAAUUUUAACAGUUAGAUGUACCUAAGCACUGUGCAGUCUGGGCAGUGUCCCUCUAAUGAUUAAGAGAUUGGACAUUAGUAACCUGUAAAGUACAUAUGUAAAAAAGUAUGUUCUAUCUGGAAAGGCAUUUUAUUAAAAAGUAAAAAAAUUUAAAUGAAGGUUUAUUUGUGUCAUUUAAUAUUUUAUAAUUUGUUAAAGAUCACUGAUAAAAUGGAA